UAGAACUGACAGAUGUCAACCAAGAAACGCCAAAAACAAAUUAGUUUGAGCGGGAGAUAACACUACUUUUCAACAAUUACAAAAAUUUUAUAUAUUUUAAAAUGUUAAAAAGUCCGAGUGAUGAACAACAACCAGAUGGGUUUGGACAAAGUUCUGGAGCAACCGGUGGUAGGCCCCUUCAUCCAUAUUGGUACAGAUAUACAAAAAUAACUGAACGAGGAAAAGCUGUUGCCCAGUGCAAUAGGUGCAAGCAAUUAAUCCGCAACACGGCUAUUAACAGAAUGCAGUCACAUCGGAAAAAAUGCAAUGUUGAACAGAUUGACGAGGACAACGGAAGUGAUUUACUUGAAGCGGUUAUAUCCCAAAAAAUUUGUCAUGUACACAGACAUCAAAUACUCAAACUACUAUUAAGUUGAGCUUUAUCUUUCAACAAGUUGAGCUUUAUCUUUCAACAAGAAAGAUAAAGCUCAACUCGACAUUCGUACUGCCAGGUUUUUUCGCUUGUAACAUUCCUUUUGUUGCAGCAGGUAAUCAAUUCUCCAAAGAUUUUUGCAAAGGAAUGCAACCAUCGUACAAACCACCAAGCAGAAAAAGGAUAUCUGGACCACUAUUGGAUGCAGUGCAUAAGGAGCAAAUCGAUUUGAAUGCCAAAUUUUUAAAAGAAGGUACAUAUUCCGUACUUCUUAUUUACGGAUGGAAAAAUUCAGCAUCAAACACAAAAAAUGUCGCAGCAUUACUGCACAACUGUGACCACUGAUUUUUUUUUUUUGGAAUCUUACGACUUUUCAUACAUGAGAGAAACUUCAGAAAAUCUCACUGAAAUGGUGAAAAAAGCUGCCAGUUAAGCCAAAUAUCGGUACAAAGUUGAAGUUUUCGCUGUAGUAACAGAUAAUGCUACUGAUAUGGUAUCAAUGGGCCGGAAUGUUGGGCUGAUUCAUACAACGUGUAAUGCCCACAUGGGUAAUUUGCUAUCCAAAGAUAUCAUCAAGAAUUUUGGUAUUCGUUUCGAGUUAAAUUAUCUUUGUGUGACUGGGAAUAGCCAGAGGCGAUCUACACGGCUACAGUCUCAACAAAACGAUGAUGUAUUCGGUAUGUUGGAGGACGAAGUUACUGAAAACUCUUCAAUACUUAGAAAAGUACAUAAAAUUCUUAAUGAAUUUAAAAAAGUACAUAUUGAAAGAAAGUUGUCAAUGCUUGGAGGAACCAAAGCGAAGUUACCAUGUGCAACAAGAUGGUGCGGUGAGCGUGAUGGACUUUUUUGGUUGAUAAACCGCAUUUCCAAGAUGAAGCAAAUAUCUGCAGAAACUAACACUUAUGGAAAACCCUUGGUCAAAUCCUAUAUAAGUGAGCUGCUCUAUAAGGAGGAUUUAUUCAAUCCGUUAAGGAACUAUUUGACCUUUUGAAUCCUGUAUCUUUACUCAUAAAAAACUGUCAAAAGUCUGAGUAUUCUAUAGCUGAUGCAACAGAAGAAUGGAUAAAAUUGCUUACCACGGCAAAACCAGAAUUAUAUGAAGUGGCGGCAAAAAGAUGUAGAAUCAGUAAAGUUUUUAAUAAAUAUAACCUCGCAGCAAAUGUUUUGAAUCCGCGAUAUAAGGGUGGAAGGUUGAACCCAGAGCAAAUGCAAAAAGUUGAAGACUUUUUACUGGAAAAUCUUGAUGAACAUGGAUUACAAUCAUUUUCAGAAAACAAAAAUGCGGCAGGAUUUUUUGCCUUACUUUCGGAAAAAACAUCCUAACCUGGGCUAUUCUGGGAAUUGGCUGAAAUAGACACAAAUCAUUAACGACAUUUGCACAAAAAUUGCUCAUGAUACCAGCUUCAACAGCUCAGCUGGAGGGUAUUUUUUCAAAUUGGACACAUGUUCAUACCGAUUUGAGGAACAGAUUAGACCCAGAACGUUCUAAGAAAUUGUUAGAAGUUUAUUUUUCUUUAAGAAUUAAUGAAACAAAAGACGUCUCGCAGUAUAUAGAGGAUACUGAUUCCAGCGAAAACGAAAAUUAAACGAAACAAAUUACAAAAUAAUUUGUAAUAACAGUAUGUACCUGCUUGGAGGCCUUUGAUUUAAAAUGUAAUUUAAAUGAAUUAUUUAAGUUUGUUAUGUUUUUUAUUUCCUGUUUAAUAAAACAAAUAUUUU